AGUGUAGGCGGCCUCAUGUGUCUGACGUGAAGGCCCCGGGCUCACCCCGGGAAGUGCGUUGGAAACUGUGAGGCUAGAGUCUCGGAGAGGGAGGUGGAAUUCCAGGUGUAGCGGUGAAAUGCGUAGAUAUCUGGAAGAACACCGGUGGCGAAGGCGACCUCCUGGACGAUGACUGACGCUGAGACUCGAAAGCGUGGGGAGCAAACA
rnacentral:rRNA from 1 species